UACGAAGGGGGCUAGCGUUGCUCGGAAUUACUGGGCGUAAAGGGCGCGUAGGCGGGUCGUUAAGUUGGGGGUGAAAGCCCAGGGCUCAACCCUGGAACUGCCUUCAAUACUGGCGACCUAGAGUAUGACAGAGGUGUGUGGAACUCCGAGUGUAGAGGUGAAAUUCGUAGAUAUUCGGAAGAACACCAGUGGCGAAGGCGACACACUGGGUCAUUACUGACGCUGAGGCGCGAAAGCGUGGGGAGCAAACAGG
rnacentral:rRNA from 1 species